CCUGGUUAGCUCAGUUAGUAGAGCACUCCACUGGAAAUGGAGAGGUCUUUGGUUUGAUACCAGGCCAGG
rnacentral:tRNA from 1 species